CUCGGCAAAGUGAGGGAAGUUUUUGCACCUCUAGGUCCUCUCGCCCAAGCGAUAAACAGCCAAGGUCUGGGGGAAGUGAAGUGAGUAUUUCACAUUGUAUAAAGCUCUGCUACAUCCUUACCUCAACUAAUCUUCAAAACAAGUCUGGAAAUAUGAAUUGUUGUUAUCGUCCUUAUUCAGAGGAUAAGAAAACUGUGUCUAAAAGAGAAAAACAGACACAUAAAGGGAAGAUGGCUGCAUAAAGAAAAAGGUACAAAUUGGAGCAAAGCAGCUAUAAACCAAGAAACAUCAAGGAUUGAAGGCAACAAUCAGACAGUAGGAAAAGGCAAGUUAAAAUUCUUCCCCAGGACUUCAAGAUGGCCCUGUGGUUUCCUCCUGGAUGAUGGGGAAGUCUGGCAGCCUAGAGAGCUAUGAACUGAUUCAUGCUGAAGAAGAACCAAGAGGGAUCAUGUCUGCCAUAGGGUGAAGUUUUGUUCCACCACCCCCUUCCACCAUGAUAUCUUGUUUCAUCUCUGCUCAAAUUAAUGGAGUCAGCCAACCACAGUCUGAAACCUCUGAAACUGGAUCGAACUCGGGUCCUUGCGCUUGUGCAGCAGGCGGU